GGGUUUUUAAAGCUCACAGGGAACUCUACUCGACGUUAAGACGUGCCAGUAACAGUGCCGACCGGUCUCCCGGGGCAGGUGGUCACUUCCGCUCCGUCUGGCACCCGCUCUUCCGCUUCGGAACCGCCAGUUCCUUCCGCGCAUUGUCGACCGGUCUCCCUGGGUUGUAGGUCCGCUCGCCACACCACACACCGACGCCGGCACACCCCAAUUCUUCUCCGCUCUCCCUUUCUUUUUCCGUAGCUCAUAAUAAUAUUUCCCACUUGGGCUUUGCUUCGACAAGAAGCAAGACGAGGAUUGGUCUAGGGAAGGAGGGAAGGAGGAUACGAUGGACGUUAAGAUCUAGCUCCAGGUAUUGUUCACCAUAGUCCCGCAGUCUGCUAGACCUCUGUCGGAUGGGGGCAGGCGCGAUGUGGUGGUUCGUCCGCGUCUUCUGCCGCCGCUACCUCCUCGUCUAGCGGCGUGAGCAGUUCAGGCAGUUGCUCCCAGCGGGCCGGUUGCUGCGGGCAAACCUCCGCUAGGUCUGGAGGGAGCUCGACACCGCUGGUCGCCACUGCUUAGAGGUUGUGGUCGAGCUGCUUGACGCAUGCGUUCACCCCGCAUAGCGCGACGUAGGGCGCGACCGGCUAGGCCAGCCGGUUCUUCCCCUAGGUCGUCGCCUAGGCUACCGCGCGAGAGGCCGCCGUGGGUACUGCGGCCCGCCCUGCGUAGUGCCCGGUCUCCCGGUGCCGUUAUAGUAGCUGAGGCCCCCUAGCCGAGUGCCCCACCAGUGGUGGGACCGCGGAGGAGGCCAGUUCCCACGCAGUGAGUACGGAAGAGAACUCUAAGGACGUGGACGUAGUUAUCUAGAGUGAUCCCUCGUACCCGUCAUGAGUGGCGUGAGCGGCGUAGUGUUAACCAGGGAAGGUGCCGACCUUAAAGGCGGCAAACUGCCCCUAUUGGGCGUUAAGACCUUCCGGGCUACACUUUUCAUAAAACUACACAUACCGUAAGUCUUCCUCUACACCCACGCUCAUCGAUCAAACGUAAAAAGCCCGUUACGACGUGCUACCGAUGUCUAAAUACUUCGGGUCGUACGUAGAAAGUGUACCCUUCUCAAUACAAGUCGGUACCCCCGUUUUAAGCCAGCGCUCGUUAUGGUUCGGGUUAACGCGGUCAAGUUGAGGGAAUCCGUCCGACCCAGUCAGCGUCUCAUGUACCUUGUUAAACUCCUUGAAUACGUAGUAAACGAUCGUGUAUUACGGCGGAAGCUAGGUGACAAAAAGUGGUGCGUUAAGUAUCUACCGAAUUUUUAACUUUAGUUUCUGCCACAUCGAAAUGUGGCGGGGGUUCUAAACCUGAGACGGAAAAGAGAACGAAGCAAUGUCCUCCUUGACAACCGUUCGUACGGUGCCGCUCUAGUAGUUGCGGUGCUUGUUCCCCACGGAGCGCGAGGCCAUGCGGGUAAUGACCGCCGUCCGCGAGGAGGAGGUGCUCGCCGUGAUGGCCGCGGGGUUCCUCGCCGGCUUCUAGCGGCACGGGACCUACGCCGCGCCCGAGGUCUAGUAGCAGUGCUAGUUCCGGCUCCGGUUCUGUCUCAGCGCCGCGACACGUUGAUGUCCGCACGGGCUCCCGAGACGAAGUUCACGCCUCUCGCGACCCCCGUUCCGGUGGUCACGCGCCGGUACCAGGUUGAAGUACACCAGCUUCUCGACACCCUUGACGAUGUUCGGCUUCUUGUUCUGUCUGUCCCCGUGGUCUGUCUGCUUCUCGUCCACUACACGUAGAGGUUCUACCGGUGGUGUCCUCUUUGUUGUGGUGCAUGUCAGGCCAACGAACCCUACGAGCUACCCUAACUCCACGAAUAGAACCACCUAAGACCCUCGAGGGUAUCAAAGUAGUCACUUCGCCACCGCUGCGCGUACUUUCUGUCUUAAGUCGGGUAUGGUAGAUAUCGUCAGUUCUAGCGUUUACCUCCUUAAGACAUCACAAGCCCGUAUUAAGGAUCUACGAGGACCUUCUGAGUUCCGGUUGUUAAACAGUGUCUACAGUCCCACGUGAGGAACCCUACGAUGCUGUACCAGCACCCUUACCUAACCGACCUCGUUACACCCGGUUACAAUCACCUAACCCGUCGGUUUUGUGAGGUCAAACUGGUGCUUCCUGCAGUUCACCACGACGUUCCUAAUGUUCGUUUUUGCAGAGUUCACGUUGUCCAUCUGUACCGCGUCGACAAUCGGAACCUCUCGUUGUUGAGGUAACGUGUAUAACACCACAACAUGAGUCGACUCGUUUCACUUCCUCUUCUGGGUUAUGGUCGUCUUGAUGUCGUUUAACAUCUACGGAAGGGACUUCACAAACGACUUGGUUGACUUGAAGGUCUCGUGUCUUCAACCCUGGUGAGGUAAGGCAACUAUGGACCCCGGUUGGGGUAGUUGUAGGCUGGCAUAGCCAUAUGUGGUCUUGUUUUCCUACUCUAUCUUCGGGUUCACUUCCUUUACGAUUCUAACUCCGAUUAACAUGGUUCAUUGUCAGGCAAGAGUAGGGGCCACGAGAACCAGUUCUUUUUUCUGGUUUGUACCGCUAAACGUAACUGAAGUCCGUGGAGUUACGAUAGUGCGACUUCUGAUGGAUGGGUUACGGUCAAUAACAGAAUAACUGCUCAAUAACCUGCUCUAUCGUCCUAGCGCGACCAAAAGGUUCGAUCUAGAAGCUCGCCCUAUGGUAGUUUAGUCCGACGCUGUUCUUCUGCUCGUGUUUUGCCGGAAAUUUUGGGUGUAGCCGGUGAUGGUUAAGGCUCACUACGGCAUACCUAACCGUAUACGCGGUCGAUGUAAGGUUCCUCACUACGUACACCAGAACGCAGGUCAAGUGGCUUUUCCUCAGAACCACAAGUACCUGCUAUAGGACUAGGUAAGACUUCUAGACCUGUGUGUGUUCGUCAACGAGUGGGUUCAUGACGUCGACGACUUGGUUAUACCAGACUUUCGGUUUGCUUGGUUCACGUGGAAACCCGUUGUCUUUUAGUCGAUAAACCCAGUGUAAUAGUCACUUCCUCCUCACCGGUGACUGUUGUUCUUUCACGUUCGGCAUGUCCUCACCGGACACGGUUGGUUAUGGUUCCUUAACUCCCCCAAGAACCCGGAGCGACCGAUAAUGUCUUUCAAACAGGCGAAGAAACCCCACUAGUCGUUUGGUGAGUGGUUAAACAACUUCUUCUUGUGCCACAAACAUACCUGUGGAUGCCGUCUGCGUCGGAAGAGACGGGACUUUUUCCGGAACUCGCAUCGGGGUCACGAACGUGAGGGACUGAAAGCAGCGGUUAAGCACCACCUUUGUCUGCGUUCACGGUGUCCUUAUCCUCGCCACGACUACGUUCUGUUGGUGGGUCACCGAAUAGAUUCGUUUCGUAAUCGGGAGUUCUUAGAACCGGAAAGUCGUAUAAUUUUCCUUACGGACCUUGACGACGAUCGGUAGCUGGUAACCGCGGGUAUGGACGUUGUACGUCUCAAGCAGCAAGCGUGCCUAGUCUUUUCGGAAGAGGUAAACUGUCUGGUCUCUGAGUUGUGCGGGUAGGUCGUCGCUCGUAAAUGUUUUAACUAACCUAACGUUAUGUGAUAGGUCAUGUUUCGACCGGACUGGUUGGCACGGCGUCUGCGUGAGAGCGCCGCGCGUGUGGAACUAGUUCUUCUCGAGCGACGAUAGAGACACACGUUCGGUCAAACCGAGCUCCGUCAGUUCUUGUCAAUGGUCGUCCUACGUCGCUGUGCUGUCGCAGACUGGUUCAACCGGAACCUAGGGUUCACACUCGGACUGAAGCGGUACGUCCUUCCUUAUGAAUCUAUGUUUCCCGCUCACACCUAACCAUUACUGUGUCUUUGAGUCGUUGUGGAGCAGGUCUGUGACGUGCGUUCGCGUCGCCCUCCGGUGAGGCCGAAGGUGCGGUGAAUGUUGUCCUAGUUCUCCGAAAAACGCACCGUACCUUACUUUGUCGUUCAUUUCCUGAAGCAAGCGUUGACGUACUAGACGGUUGUCCGUUUUUGUCUUUCCUAAAGUGGCCGGCCCGAUGAAGUUGGGGACGGCUAGGGCUUCUUUGGAACCCGCCAGCACAGUGACCUGAAGUAGCUCCCUGACGGGUCUAGUCCUCCGAAGCUAUGUCAAAACCACUAACACCUAUUUAAGAGGUUCAUACGGGUAAAGUAAGGGAACCGCGUAGGUAAGUGCCGGGAAGUUCACCGCUUCGACAAAUACUUUCUCUAGAAGGCGAACGUACCGAACGGCGAUCGAGAGUAGAGACUGGCGCUGUUCCACAAGUGUUCAUUCCAUACCGUCCUUGACAAGUUUGAGACGGAAUGUCUCUAGGCUGAGUCAAGCCGUAUGGUGGGUGUCUGCCUGCCGGUCUGCCUCGCGCACUUGGUUACAGAGCUCCGAAUAGAAUCCACACGCCAUGUAAGUACGGGACGUUUAACCAGUUUCACCGAUGGUGAACGGCUCAUGACCAUGUUAUGCAGGAAAGUAAGUCGUAACCCCUCCUGGGGCAAACUUCACCACAUACCGGUAGACGGUUCUCUCAAACCUCAAUGAGUCCAACUACUCACGUGUCAUGGCCUGGACCGACGUACCGACGUCCUCGCUCUCCAGUACUAGCUAGACGACGUCGUUGUUGACUUCGUUCGAGUUCUGUCCUACUUCGCUGUACGUCUGUUCGUAGCGUGUCUAGCGCUCAAGCGGCACCCGCUGCGCCAGGACGAGUUCGAGGUUGGGAAGUAAGUCAGCAGUCAGCGCGUUGCCGGUGUAGUCUUCGAACGGAAAGCGAUGAAGCCAGGGAUGUCUCACCACCGCGCCUAACCCCGUCACCGGAUGUUCAACCUAGAGGGUGGAUGUUCGUUCUAAGUGGGUCAGCAGGUACACAGCGUCGAGUUCUUUCGAGUUCCCCGACACCACGGUCACUCAGGAUGAAAUGGAGGACUACUGAGACAAAACGUCCGUCUUGUAUAUGGACUUUGCCACGACCUCUCGUUUUACCAAGCACACCCGCCGCUCGGCCGGGAUGCGGAUGCGUAGUUCACCUCGCCGGACGGCAGCACGUACCGGUGGACCCUUCUCGGUGUUGUCGACGUUGCCGCGAAGGGAUUGAGAGGCGGAACCCCUGUUCCGCUUUGCGUUCUGCCCCCUCUACAGUGCCGACCGGUCUCCCGGGGCAGGUGGUCACUUCCGCUCCGUCUGGCACCUGCUCUUCCGCUUCGGAACCGCCAGUUCCUUCCGCGCAUUGUCGACCGGUCUCCCUGGGUCGUAGGUCCGGUCGCCACACCACACACCGACGCCGGCACACCCCAAUUCUUCUCCGCUCUCCCUUUCUUUUUCCGUAGCUCAUAAUAACAUUUCCCACUUGGACUUUGCUUCGACAAGAAGCAAGACGAGGAUUGGUCUAGGGAAGGAGGGAAGGAGGAUACGAUGGACGUUAAGAUCUAGCUCCAGGUAUUGUCAGUACACCUAUUGUAUCAAAGAACUAAAGAAGCCUACGGUUCAUACAUUUUAGUAUAGUAUAAAAGUCCCUUUUACUCUGACUGUACGCGAAACGAUAAAUCCUGUUUGACCUUUCCCCCCAACCCAAAUUACUUAUCUAUAUUGUUUGUAAUUUGACAACCCAAAAGCCCCCCAAAAGACUUCCUUAACCUACACCAAUUACUACUCGUAGUCCAAAAGAUACUUAGUUAUCACUACCUAUGUGUCUUGAUAAAUUACCUUUUACGCUACGCUAACGAUCUUACCUUUUACGUCGACUUGUUCCAUAACGAUAUCGACGACGAUACCUUCCCCAGCUUGCCGUCACCCCUUUGCUUAAACGUCCAGGUGUGUGGAAUUAUCUUUUAGAAGCUCUGGUGUACAAGUUCGGAAGGAACAGUUGAUAGUAUUGACUUUUAUCGUCACAAGGUAGUCAUAGAGGAAGUCUAGACCAUUGAGAACGACGGUUUUUCUACUCUCUCAUGGCUCAAUUGAGUCACCAACAGUACUGUCCCUUGUACGACGUUCCGUAAGAGUGAAGGUUCCUAAACCAAAACGCUCAUCACCGUGUUUUAGACAGGGGUCUCCAUUGAGAGCAUCUUUUCCAGUACUGACGUUCAGGACUAACACGAUGUAACCUGUGUAGUUAGGAGCUCCGAGAUGUUAGUUACGUGCUAUCUUUUAUAGCAGUAUAAGAACAACGUCUGUCUUCAUGGCUUAAUAUUACAGUUUCUUUUCAAGGAAAGACUAAAGAUACAUGUAUAGAUUCACUUUAGAAACUUGUCCUCCUGUCUAACAGCGGACAAACCUGCGAGAUGUCAAUUGGGUGUGUCGGUAGAGGUACCAUUCUUUGAUUCUUACUUAAUAAUGUAAACGUGAUUGUUCCCUACAAUGACGUGUAAGUAAUGAAAGGUAUAACUUCUUUUUCUUGUAAUGCAGGAACCUUCCGCUCCAAAGUAAGACUUCCCUUCAAGCGACCGUGUACUCAAGAUAAAAACGACGUAGUUUGACUAAGUCAGUGCUAUAAUAUGUAAUUUACUUAAUUUAUAAGACAAUCGAUACUAAUAAAGGUAUUUUGAUAUGGUAUGUUAUGCAAAAAAACCACUUGUGCUAUGUUUAUGCAACAGAAAUAAAGAGUAGUGGUAUAUUAGGAUUGAAAAAAACACAAGUGUAACUAAUUGAAAAGAGCAGCUCCCUCGGAUACCCCGUUUGCUACACCGUUUAUGGAACCAAGUCUUCAAACCCCUAAGUCGUGAACGGAACGUAGGACGUCUUCUCAUGCUGACCGUAUCACUGCUUAGAGCAUGCCGUCGGAGUCUGUCACGACUUCCCUUCGUUUGUGGAGGAGUACAACCGUUACGUAAGAGAAAGAUUUAACUUCUGUCUUUUCCCACCUACGUGUCUAAGUCAACGCAAAGUCUUUCGAAUCUACUCGAACACAGACGAUAACGUAUGUCUAAUCCUUGUCUUUUGCUCUUCCGCUUACAUUUGGAAGACAUGCUACUACUACUUCCACUGUCUCAAGAAGACCUAUGGCUACCACUAGAGCAACGUCGCUAACUCGUACGGUCUAGUCGGCCUACCUUCCAAGACUCCGACGUGUACCUGAUGCCCAGUCUCUGGCCGCGUCUCAGGUGAGGCUGCCGCAGACAUCUAUGGAGCUGCCGUUCCUCUCCGACCGGCAGGGAUACCGAUCCAUCUCACCCGUCGCGUCGACGACAACGCCCGCAGCCCCAUUAGCAGAUGAACUCUACGAGGGCCGUUACUGAAGUUAUAUGUAUGGAUUCUGAGUUUCUCGUAUGAAGUUGUGACGUAUCUACAUGAUGCGUCCUCCUCCUAGUGUGUUUAGUGCCGCCGUUAUUCCGAGAACGGUUCGGAGAUGUGACUUAAAAAGAGGUCCCAAACGUCAGUAAGAUUUACCUGAAGUCUCUCCACAAAGAAGAAGAAAUCACUAGUUAAAGACUGUUGUCCCCACAUACAAGUCAACAAAAGAGAUUGUUAUUGUACUUAAUCACAAAGAAAAACGCGACCUUGUGAUUAGUCACGAAGUGAGAGAUAUAUUUUUUUGUUAACAACCAACAAUACC
rnacentral:rRNA from 1 species